rnacentral:tRNA from 1 species
GGCCAGUGUGGUGUAAUGGUUUGAGUGUUGGACUAGGACACUGGAGACCAGGGUUCAAAUCCUGGCUUGGCCA